rnacentral:lncRNA from 1 species
GUAAAAAAAUAAAUAAAUAAAUUUUUACAAAAACUUUUAAUUGUUUUAAAAUGAAAAUUUUUUAAAUUAAAAAAAUUAAAUUCUUUUAAUAAUAAAAUUUUCUUUUGGCUUUGUUGUCUCGGAUCGGAGUUAUAUGUGAUGCGAGGGUUUGAUUCUUUGGAUUUGAGCAUGCAUCUUUUGGUCUCUUUCUUUUUAUUUUUCUUUUUGUAGUUUUGAUCAAGUUUCUUGGAGGUAGGAGAGAGCCUCAACUCCUGCUGUAUGUCUCCUUGAUGCUUUGAUUAGCUGGAGGGAUAUGGCGUUCUCAAUGCUGGUUGGAAACAAGCCUAUGCCGGAAGGGACAGGUCCUUGGGUUUUUAGUGGCAUGGUACCUCCGAGGACGUUACUGGUGUUUUCCUUGAAGGCGUCAUGGAGCUCUAUCUUUCCACCUGUGCGUUAUCCCUUGGCUCCUAUUUCAGACUCAACCAUGGUGUUGUUUCUUCUUGGAUUGAUGCUCUUGACUGACCCACAUCCUAAGAUUCUUGUACGGAGGCUCUGUUGCUGGCUUUGAUGUGUGUGAGCUCCUCUUAUGGUGUUAAUGAUUUUUUUUUUUUUUUUUAAAGGAUCAAAAGCUGUGGAACUGAUAAAGGAACAAAAGCUACUGCUGGUUGUUUCCAGAAAGCAUUUCGACGCUUUUGGUUUAGGAUGUCUGGUUUGGGCUUAUGGGUUUUGUUUUUGGGCCAAUCUUGAGGAUUUUUAGUCCACUCCUUCUGUUUUAUAUAAAAAAAAAAAUCUUAAUUAAU